AACGAACGCUGGUGGCAUGCCUAACACAUGCAAGUCGAACGAGACCUUCGGGUCUAGUGGCGCACGGGUACGUAACGCGUGGGAACCUGCCCUUAGGUUCGGAAUAACUCCCCGAAAGGGGUGCUAAUACCGGAUAAUGUCUUCGGACCAAAGAUUUAUCGCCUUUGGAUGGGCCCGCGUUGGAUUAGCUAGUUGGUAGGGUAAAAGCCUACCAAGGCGACGAUCCAUAGCUGGUCUGAGAGGAUGAUCAGCCACACUGGGACUGAGACACGGCCCAGACUCCUACGGGAGGCAGCAGUGGGGAAUAUUGGACAAUGGGCGAAAGCCUGAUCCAGCAAUGCCGCGUGAGUGAUGAAGGCCUUAGGGUUGUAAAGCUCUUUUACCCGGGACGAUAAUGACAGUACCGGGAGAAUAAGCUCCGGCUAACUCCGUG
rnacentral:rRNA from 1 species